rnacentral:rRNA from 1 species
CAGUCGCCACGGUAAUACGAAGGGGGCUAGCGUUGCUCGGAAUCACUGGGCGUAAAGGGUGCGUAGGCGGGUCUUUAAGUCAGGGGUGAAAUCCUGGAGCUCAACUCCAGAACUGCCUUUGAUACUGAAGAUCUUGAGUUCGGGAGAGGUGAGUGGAACUGCGAGUGUAGAGGUGAAAUUCGUAGAUAUUCGCAAGGACACCAGUGGCGAAGGCGGCUCACUGGCCCGAUACUGACGCUGAGGCACGAAAGCGUGGGGAGCAAACAGGAUUAGAUACCCGCGUAGUCCCUGUCCUUAUACA